GACAGAGGGUGCAAACGUUGUUCGGAAUUACUGGGCGUAAAGCGCGUGUAGGCGGCCCUGCAAGUCGGAUGUGAAAUCCCACGGCUCAACCGUGGAAGUGCAUUCGAAACUGCAGGGCUAGAGUCUUGGAGAGGAAGGUGGAAUGCUUGGUGUAGAGGUGAAAUUCGUAGAUAUCAAGCGGAACACCGGUGGCGAAGGCGGCCUUCUGGACAGUGACUGACGCUGAGACGCGAAAGCGUGGGGAGCAAACAGG
rnacentral:rRNA from 1 species